CCCCCCCCCCCCCCCCCCCCCCCCCCCCCCCCCCCCCCCCCCCCCCCCCCCCCCCCCCCCCCCCCCCCCCCCCCCCCCCCCCCCCCCCCCCCCCCCCCCCCCCCCCCCCCCCCCCCCCAACGAACAAAUAAAAACACUAAAACAAAAAGAGGUGGGCGGGCGGUGGCAUCAUGGUCUGGCCGGGCAGUGCGCUCCCGUCUCCCCGCGGGCCGCUCCUGUUGUUUUCCCAGCAAUAGUCUGGGUAGGGCGAGCGUUUUCCAGCCGUGCCCUUGGACCUUUUUUCUGGAGCGGCCUUGGGGCACCGUCAGCGGCCAAGCCGGGGUGCGGGAGCGGGAAUCCCGCGGGCCGGGUGGCAACGAGUCCCGUGUGUUCUGUACAGAAAGGGAAUUCCCCUGUGUGCUCCAAAAAUCACAGUAGAAAAGUAGCAGCAAGGAAAAUAAGCUGAGGACAGAGAAAUAAGACGGAGAUGAGUUAUUACCAAACCAAGGGAGAAUUUCCAUCUUAAAAGCCACUACAAGAAAGAAAGAUAUAAAAGGUACUGUGUUUCUGCAGCUGAGUCUCUUGAGUGUCUUGUUACUAUUUCAUUAUGUGUGUUCUUAAAUCCUUAAUAAACACUGUCCUUCUAUUGAAUUGUCUUUACACUUCAGAAUUUCCUUUGUUUGCAUGCUGUUGAAGGCAAACUAAAAUUUAUUUUUUAUUUAACAUAGUGGUAGAGUGGUUGAAGAGCAGAAAGAAGGGAAUAGCCCUAUGAUAUCUCUUAAAAGUGGAACUAGGACAGGACCCUCUGCCAUUGUUCAUUGUGCCCAGAGCAGAGGCAGUGGCAGGGAUAAAACACAAAUGCAGCUGAGGAAAACAGGGAUGUCAGUUUUCUCUUUUGUGCUUUCUCUGAUCCAUCUCUCCCUUUUCCUAUUACCAUGAAAAUACUAAUUUAGCUUCAUUCUACCCCGACAGAGCAGAGGAUGUCUCUCAACUGUGGGACUUCUUCCUACAGGCAGUAAGGGUCAGACUCUCAGGAUGUCUUUUCCUCUCUCCAUGCCCUCCCUGCCAGCUAUAUCUCAGUCUUUCUGGAGUCAAAAGCCGUUCCUCUGGUCACUUAGAGGAUGACCAUAAACAUUUUCUGCUGCUCUGAAUUCACCUCAAUACUUUGGUGUGCCUGUUUUAAAUCUGGGGACUUGAAAGUGAAUAAUGGGAUUAAAUAUUAAAGUACUCUUGUUUAUUUUCCUG
rnacentral:lncRNA from 1 species